rnacentral:SRP_RNA from 1 species
GAGCGGAUCUUUGCUUCUAUGGCCACCUUAAGGCUGAGGGAUUGCUUGAGUCAAGGAGUUCUAGUCUGCCCUGAGCCAUGUCGAUCGGUUGUCCACACUGAAUUCAGUAUCAAUACAGUGUUUCUGGGGGAGCUUGGGAUCACCAGGUUGUCUAAUGAGGGGUGAACUGAUCCAGGUUGGAAACGGAGAAGAUCAAAGCCCCCAUGCUGUUCAGUAGUGAGAUAGCACCUGUGAAUGGUCAGUGCAGAUGAACAUGGGUGAUAAAGUGGGUCCCAACCUCUU